rnacentral:tRNA from 1 species
UGCCUUGAAGAGGACUCGAACCUCCACGCUCGAGAGCACGAGAUUUUGAGUCUCGCGUGUCUACCAUUUCACCAUCAAGGC